rnacentral:rRNA from 1 species
UACGGAGGGUGCAAGCGUUAUCCGGAUUCACUGGGUUUAAAGGGUGCGUAGGCGGGCAGGUAAGUCCGUGGUGAAAUCUCUGAGCUUAACUCAGAAACUGCCAUGGAUACUAUUUGUCUUGAGUGUUGUGGAGGUAAGCGGAAUAUGUCAUGUAGCGGUGAAAUGCUUAGAUAUGACAUAGAACACCAAUUGCGAAGGCAGCUUACUACACAAAUAUUGACGCUGAGGCACGAAAGCGUGGGGAUCAAACAGG